rnacentral:misc_RNA from 1 species
UCAAAACAGCGGCCUUCGGGCCUCGCUGCACCCUUGUCUUUUGCGCACCGUAUUGUUUCCUCGGCGGGCUUGCCUGCCGGUAGGACAUCAUAAAACCUUUUUGUAGUUGCAAUCAGCGUCAGAAAAAUAAUAAUUAUUA